UUCCGUAGGGUGAACCUGCGGAAGGAUCAUUACCGAGUGAGGGCCCUCUGGGUCCAACCUCCCACCCGUGUUUAUUUUACCUUGUUGCUUCGGCGGGCCCGCCUUAACUGGCCGCCGGGGGGCUUACGCCCCCGGGCCCGCGCCCGCCGAAGACACCCUCGAACUCUGUCUGAAGAUUGUAGUCUGAGUGAAAAUAUAAAUUAUUUAAAACUUUCAACAACGGAUCUCUUGGUUCCGGCAUCGAUGAAGAACGCAGCGAAAUGCGAUACGUAAUGUGAAUUGCAAAUUCAGUGAAUCAUCGAGUCUUUGAACGCACAUUGCGCCCCCUGGUAUUCCGGGGGGCAUGCCUGUCCGAGCGUCAUUGCUGCCCUCAAGCACGGCUUGUGUGUUGGGCCCCGUCCUCCGAUCCCGGGGGACGGGCCCGAAAGGCAGCGGCGGCACCGCGUCCGGUCCUCGAGCGUAUGGGGCUUUGUCACCCGCUCUGUAGGCCCGGCCGGCGCUUGCCGAUCAACCCAAAUUUUUAUCCAGGUUGACCUCGGAUCAGGUAGGGAUACCCGCUGAACUUAAGCAUAUCAAUAAGCGGAGGAA
rnacentral:rRNA from 1 species